CCCAAAUGACCCUGGUUAGUGUCAGGUCAGCAUAAAAAUUAUGGGCCACUGAGCUGUGUGUGUGUCCCCUGCACGGGACUCAUCCACCACAGCAGAUGAAAGACAGGUGGUUCUUUGACAAGAUUUAGAAGAUUUAGUGGAUAAAGAUGCUUUGUGCAAAGGGGGAAAGGCCUUACUUUCCCAGAGCCAGUGUUAACAUCAAGGCACUGAGCUUGCUGUCAAGAGCUUAGUUGGCUGUGAACCAUAGGUACCCUGCAGAGGACAGUCUCUCUGGACCCCUGCAGCUCUAUAAACUCGAAAGAACUGCAGGAUGUGCAUGGAGUCCGCCCCUCACUCUACUGAGAAUUAACAUGCCGUUCUUCUCGAGCUGUGUAAACUACGUUGUUUAUGAACCAGGUGAGUAUGUGCUAGGAAGAGUAUUUAAGCUGCCAACAGUCAGCCAUUUUGACCUGGGAAAGCCAGGAAGUUACCUGAGCGGCUCAACUCUAGUUUUCCCAUGAGUAAGAGAAGAAAACGAGAAUGUCUUCCUUGUAGAGCAAUCCUCCUUUCAGGAUUAAGUGAAAUAAUAUAUGUGCAAAUCCUCCCUUAGAUACGCUGAUAUAGUAUUUAUUUUCCCUCGCUCGAAUAACUUUGGCACUGGCUCCCUUAAUGGGGAGGUAGCUAAUUUCUUGGGAGCUCUUUGGAGCCAGCAAACCAGGACUGGAUGAAAUCUGGCUCCCAUCUUGUCUGUGCCCACUUCACUCGAGCUGAGGCGUUUCCACGGAGACCCUACAUCCUGCAAAGUCAAACAUAUUUACUAUCUAGCCCUUUGCAGAAAUAAUUAUGCUGACUCCUGCGUAAUUUUUCACUCUCAUGAAGUAUGCAAACAUUUAGCUUCAAGGCUGAACUCCAACACUGCCCCGACUGAACCCUUUCAGGGUUGCUAUUUAUUUUUCUCCUGGUCACAGGGCAGAAAGGAAAACACCUGUGGGAUCUGGGACCAAGACAAUAAUUGCUUCUAAGUCUUAUCUCCCUCAGCCAGAAGAAAACAGCUGGAAAAAAAAACCCUCCAUGGAGAAGGGCGGAAUUAAAACUGUCUAGGCAUUUCCACUGUGCUUUGGCACAGAGAAGGAAGGAUAGAAGGCAGGAGAAAACAUUUCCAGUUUAACAGAAUUGAAAAGCAAACACAAAUCAAAUUAGCAAGGCCAGUAAAGUUUGAACGGCAUAUACCUCACUGCUGUUCUCGAACCAAUGGAUAGAUACUGGUAAAGGUCUCACUAGUUCUUUGAUUUAUUUAAUAAAAGACAUUAAAAAAAAAAUCAAAUGGAUCACUGGGCGGGAAUUUGACCAGAAACACCUCCCAAGUGAUAAUUAGCUUGCCAAUUUUUCUCAGAGUUUUAUGUUACCAUAAAUAUUCAUGACACAUCUCUCAUCCAACUCUAGGUUCUUCAGGAAACAGUUAUCAGUUUAAGAAGAACACGAAUCAGACUGGUAAAGCUAAUUGGUUAGGGUUCUUUUUUCUCCUUCGUCUUAAAUAAAGCUGUUGUAGGUUCCCGGGGUAAUGACGGCCUUUGUUAUUAUGACAACUGCUUAUUCCUUUGCCUUUGAAGGAGCUGGCGAUUCGAUAGGCAGUGCACAUCAAGAAUAAUUAAAACGAAUGAUGGGCGGGACACAACGCUUACAGGAGUACACCAGCACCAGCCUCCUGUCAAAGCACCUUUUGGGUAUCACCAUGGCUCUUCCUGGAGACGGUCACAGAGAAUUGUGAAGUAGUUGUAUGUGUCUGCUUAUUGAAUUUUCAUGAUCAGGACCCUGAAGAGAAGAGGAAAACGAUGAGAGAUGCGAUCCAGCCUUAUGAAACUCACAUGUGGUGCAGGAGGUGAAUCAUAGCCACUUGAAGAGCUAACUACACUUCAAGGCAAUCUUGCCAUAAGCAGUGAAAGUGACAUGAAGACUCAGAAAAAACGAUCAAUCACUUACAACUGGAGCUGUCAAGGAAGAUCUCACAGUAUUUUUAUAUUGUCUUUGUGUACUUAGUUAUUACUCUUUUCCUAUAAGGGAGAUGCUGUGGGAUUCAUCUUCAACCUUUCCACAUUUCCCGGGAUAUGAUGAUCACUUAGUAGCCACCACUGAGUAGAAGAAAAUGAGCAAGCUGAGUGUCAUUUAACUCGAUGGAAGGGAUAGAAACUCUACUCAACAAGAUUAUGGACACACACACACACACACACACACACACACACACACAGAGGAGGUAUGCAAAAUAAAGAAGCAAAGAGCAUUUUCUGGAUAGUCAACACAUGACUCUCUUACACCUUUUCACUUAUUUUAGUAGCCCAUUUAGUUGUCCCAGAAGUCCCAUGACACAGUUACAAAUAUCUCUGCUUAAAAGACCAAGAACACAGAGUCUGAGAGCAGACAGGUGAUUUUUCCAUUUGUGCUAGACUUUGAAGUUCUUAGGCUGGCUGCUGGCAGGAAAAAGAUGAGGUUCACAUGGUCUCUGUGAGGUCAUGGCUGCCUCUAGCUAGGCUGUAGUACAUUACGGUUUGUUACUUGCUGUAGCUAGUUACAGCUCACUCAGUAUGUGACUCUGACUCUGUGGCUGGCUCGAACCAUGUUUAGGAUGUCAAACCCCAAUCCUCUUGGUAAAAGGUCCUCAAUGCUUGCCCUACACUCCUCUGUCCAGCCUGGCCCUCAGUGCUUGCCCUACGUUCCUCUGCCCAGCCUUGUUCUCAGGUAGCUGUUUCUAUUCCUCUCUAUCUACAUUCCCGGCUUCCUGGCUGCUUAUUUUUCUGACCUUCUUCCAAGUGCUUCCUCUUCUCUCCAGUGUGCUGAUUGUCCUGGUGUCUUCCCUGACCUAUCUCCAUGCCAUAUCCUCUUUUCCUUACAUGUAGGUACAGCAGUGAUCUUGAUAUCAUGGGGACUUCAUCCUUGUCACUUCUUCCCAAAUUGCACUGAUGACAGAGCCCCCUCUUCUCUCGCCAGAGUGCAUCUCACUAUUUCCACAGUUCCAAAUGGCCUUUCUAGGUCCGCAAAUGGAAAUAAAAGAGAAAAGGGCAUUUAUUCCCCUGGGUCAUGCUUCUGAAAUUUUACAUCAUCAAUAACCCUUUCUCAUCCUGCGGAAGGAAGAAGAAAAUACACCGAAGCUGUGCACAUCUGGGCAUGGAUUCACUCAGAGCCCAUGUGUGUGUGUGUGUUUUUUUUUAAUCUAAUUCUGCAAUCCCUGCACCCCUGGCAUUGUGUUCCGCCAUACUUCCAUUCCAUCACCUUGAGGCAUCUGUUAGCUGCUCAAAAAGAAUAGUGAGGAAGCUGUUUCACUUCAGCCAAGGGGCUACCCAUAGUGCAACUACACCUGCCUUGGCCUUCUCCUCCUGGCUUCAGAACUUCUGAGGCUCAGAGGGAAAUGCUGGUGUCCCAAGAGAGGGCAUUUCUUAAGAGCAGCAUGAAACAGCACCCCUGACCUGCUCUAGGGAUUAAUUAGCAAUUAGCAAAUCCUUUAGAACUUGGCUACGCUGAGUAGAAAAUCCCCAGAUUUGGACUAAUUUGCUAUUAUUUAAUGAGAUGAAGGGCCGUCCCCUCAUGUGUAACUUUUCGACUGUGUACAACCAAUGAUUCUAAGCCCUAUAUGACCAUCACUUCAUCCAAGGGGUCAGGCCUUGCCUCUGGAGCCUCGGUAUGGAGGAAAAAAGUGUGGCUGUCACUGUAAGCCAGACACAAGGGGAGUUUCACAAAUAGUCCUGUGGCUCCAUCGUCAAUAGAAGAAAAUACCAGAUGGAAAGUUGUACUGGGCCCCUUUACGAGGGCUUUUCUGGUCCCUUCUCUCUAGCUAAAACACAGCUGGAAGGGGAGACAUGAUCACCCAAGCAUCCAUCAUCCACCAUUCUUCUCGUCUAUCAACUUCCCUUGUGUGAUCCCAUCAGCUCCCGAGGGAGCCCGAAUGUGUACUUUCCAGUCACCCCAACUUCAGACAUCAGUCUGAACCUCUUUUUACGUUCCAUUUUACUUUUUAAAGAAAUCUGAUAAAAUCUCUGCUGUGCGUCAAAGGGAACACACACGUUUUUAGGUACAAGGACCAAACUAGAGUAGGACAUCAAAUUGCAUAUCAAAACUGCAUUUUGUGCGUUCAUUUAUGCCAUUAUUGAAACUAUAGAAAUCCCCCAAAUCUCCAUGUAUUGGCAACAACUAAAAGCCCUAGGCAAAAUGAAUCAGUAACCUUAACAAAAGUCUUUUUCUGAAGAGCUCACAUUUUACUGACUGAGUUCCUUUUGAAAUAGGGAAAUGAAGUGUGUGGGUGCAGGGCACAGCAGUGGACACCGGUAAUCCCAGCUCCUGGCAAGUAGAGAUGGAAGGAUCAGUCUAAGGUGAUCGUGGGUUACAUAUCAUUUUUCUCUACAGAAUCUGCUUCCUGAAAUGGCAGUAGCAUAGUGACUAAAGAUACUUAGUGCUGUUCCUGUUUGUAGAAUGCC
rnacentral:sRNA from 1 species